rnacentral:lncRNA from 1 species
GCUGUUGCUCCGGAAGCAGCAGCUCACUUGCCGGGGACGAAGUUGGUGGCGUAGGCCCAAGCGUUGUUGUUGACGGGGUCGGCGAGGUGGUCGGCCAGGUUCUCCAGCGGGCCCUUGCCGGUCACGAUGGCCUGAACGAAGAAUCCGAACAUGGAGAACAUGGCCAGGCGGCCGUUCUUGAUCUCCUUCACCUUCAGCUCCGCGAAGGCUUCGGGGUCGUCGGCCAGGCCGAGGGGGUCGAAGCUGCCGCCCGGGUAGAGCGGGUCGGUCACCUCGCCGAGCGGCCCGCCGGCGAUGCGGUAGCCCUCCACGGCGCCCAUCAGGAUCACCUGGCACGCCCAGAUGGCCAG